rnacentral:misc_RNA from 1 species
GUCCAUAUCUUGACGUAUAGAAUACACCUACAUGGAUAUUUUUCUUUGCAUUUUAAAAAUUUGAAUUUUUUUUUUUACUUAUUUUAUUGUUGGAGAUGCAUUGACAGUGAAACUAGUCUACUUUUUGUCUGCUUCUCUCGUCGAUUACUUUACCACCUACAUUCCCUAUUUUUGUCUUCAGUUUAGAUUUCCCUUCUCUCUCCUUCUUUAAGGUUAUUGAUUGAUUGUUUCUUUUGUAGAAAUGCAUCAAGUAGACCAUACCCAGAUCAAAUCAAGACUUGAGUUGCAGAUUUUGAAGCGUUUAUGAGAUGGGCUUUUGAGGUAAGAGCUAUUCCUUUGGUCAAUUACUACUUGUUCUUACUACUGUUUAUUACCCAGUUUCUGAUCAAUUUUAUUCUGUUACUUUUAGAUGCAAAAUUGGGCUCAAGUGUUUGUUGAAAGACCGAGGUGAGAGUUUGACUGUAGUGAAUUGGAGUUCUUUGCAAUAAAAAUGAGAGAUUUUCCGUCUUGCUUUGGUGAAAAUGGGGUGCAAGUAGCUGAUUCUUCAUCUUCGAAUUCUAGUAAAAAUGCGCAGAAUUUGGUUACUUGCGUGUAUCAAUGUCGAAUUCGAGGUCGCUUUUGCUUGAUCACUAUUACGUGGAGUAGGAAUUUGAUGGGUCAAGGCCUAAGUGUUGGAAUGGAUGAUUCCGCUAAUCACUGUUUAUGCAAGGUUGAUAUUAAACCCUGGUUGUUCUCGAAAAGAAAAGGGUCCAAGAGUUUAGAAGCAUAUUCUUGUAAAAUUGAUAUAUAUUGGGACCUUUCAUCGGCUAAAUUUGGAUCUGGGCCUGAACCGUUAGAAGGAUUUUAUGUGGGUGUUGUUGUUGACAGGCAAAUGGUUCUUCUUCUAGGGGAUAUGAGAAAAGAAGCUUUCAAAAAAACUAGUGCUACUCUCAUUCCUUCUAAUGCUGUUUUUGUUUCCAAGAGAGAACACGUGUUUGGCAAGAAGGUGUUUAGCACCAAGGCUCAGUUUUGCGACAAUGGUCAAAUUCAUGAUCUUGUGAUUGAAUGUGACACAAUUGGUAUCAGUGAUCCUUGCCUUGUGGUUCGGGUGGAUUGCAAGACUGUGAUGCAAGUGAAACGGUUGCUGUGGAAGUUCCGAGGGAAUCAUACCAUAUUGGUUGAUGGGUUGGCAGUAGAAGUUCUUUGGGAUGUUCAUAAUUGGCUUUUUGGCACAUCUGUUGGAAAUGCUGUUUUUAUGUUCAAGACAUGCCUCUCAGCUGAGAAGUUAUGGUCAAGCCAAGCACUUACAGAUCCCAAUGUGUUGCCAUGGUCCUUCUCACAGAGAUUUCUGGAUUCCAAAUCGCAAAAUCUUGGUUUUUCACUGAUUUUGUAUGCUUGGAAGAAUGAGUAGAGAGUCAGAAAAUUUUCUUUGAGUGCUAACAGAAAAAUUAGGAGUUGUGAUUUUUAUCGGUUAUGUGAUUGAUUACACUUAGUUUGAUUCAACAGUUUUUCCCCCUUCUUUUUGGUCCUGUUGAGUUACUUGAGUAAUUAAAUUGAUACAAUUUCAUGUUUCAGUUGGCUGUAUAUCCUUUCCAAAAUGUUCCUUUAUUUUUUUUUUUCUAUUUCUUCUUCUAUUAAAAUCCACUGUCAACAGAAUAAUUAAAUUCAUGGUUGAACC